rfam:Ricinus communis cultivar Hale ctg_1100012360252, whole genome shotgun sequence.
GCAUCCAUGGUGUGGACAUUAUAGUAAAGGCGAUUUGAAGCGAUCCCAUGCUGCAUAAAGGGAUUCAAUAUCUUUUUUAUAAAAGUUAGAAACUUCAGCCCUUAAUUC